AGCAUCUAUAAAGAGCUGUCUCCAGUUAAAGAUGAAACAUUUUCUCCAAAUUUUUGUCUUUUUACUGUGGUCCCCAAAUCUUUUCAGACAGUUGAACCCAGAUUUGGUAAAUCUAAUCCUCUUCCUUUCAAAAGUAUCUAAAUUAGAUCAAGUGAACAUUAAUGCAUAAUGGGUGUUAAACAUUAAUAGAGAAUGACUACGUUGGAAUGUAUGAUUUAUUUCUACCAAAGAGUGGAAUUUUUUAAAAAUGUGCUUAGCACUUCCAGCAGGUAAAUUGCACUGAACUGAAAGUCUGGAAUCCAGCUUUGAAUUUACACCUAUUAUACUAUCAUUUAUCUUAAUAAGAGAUGAACUAAAAUUUCCAAUGAUUUUCCAUUCUUCUGUCCUCAGAUGAAAUAGUCAUGUUGAAAAAAUCAUUAAUCUUAAAGUGGUGACAGAUAAAAAGAAUUUAGUUUGUUGUCAGUACUUCUCAACUUAAAGGUUAGGUCAGCCAUGGUUUAUGUCAUGACACUGAUAAAUUUUUCUAAUGACCAGAAUGGUUUGAUUUGUAAUAGCUUUUUGUUUUGGUUUUAAGGAAUAUAUAUCUUGGUUAUCUGACUUCAUCCUAAAGAUGCAUUUUUUUCUACUUUGCAUUGUUUCUAUUUUAUAACAGAGACAAAAUUAUAGAGCAGUAAGUAAUAUGUGGUGUUAAAAUAUGCAUUUUAAAGAGCUUUCCAUGAAAACUUAAAAGCAGAAUUGUAAAGAUAAAAACUUGGCAAAGGGAUGAGGGAAAAUGGUUAGGAAUCAUUGUGGUUUAAAGAGGGUAAAGAUUUCUAGAUGCUGUUUAAUAUACUGAGGAGGUAGUGAAGGUAUAAAAUCAGAAAAAAGGCAGACAGAUCUCCUCAUCUCAGGAGCAAACUGUCUUUGAAAAUUCUGAACAAUGUUCAGUAAACCAAGGGUCAAGGUAAGUGUUUGGUGGAAGAUUCUUUUAGUUAAAAUUCACUCAAAAUAAAGAAUAAAAAUAGCAAUUUUAAUGGUAUCAUCAGAAAUAGGCUAUUUCGACUAGUGAUAUUCAGUCCUUUCUUAAAAGUGAUGCAAAUCUAGAUUUCUCAUUUCUUGUUUUCCCAUGAUUUUAGUUCUUUUACUCUUUUUUUCAAAAUACUUUUAAGUUCAUACUCAGUCAUGUUAUUGGAGGAAAUAGACUUAAAGAGAGGUUGAAAGCCAUUUAUAAAAAGUGGUUGAACUUGUUCCCUUAAUUCCUUUUUCCUGGAUUAAUUUUAGUCCUUUUUAAAAAAUAGAAACUAUUUAAAUGUAAUUAAAAAUUAUUUUAUCUAAGUAAAAUUACAGAGGGGAAAAGAUUGUAAGCAAAUCCAUUGCUAAUAGUGGUGUAUUUCUGAUAGAAUUUUGAAUAUUUGUUUUUCACUUCUCCAAGUUUCUCUGCAACAUGAUUUAUAUUUGUGUAUAACACCAGUAGCCAAUUUAUUUUUUAAAGUAAUGCUCCUAAUAUAAAUAAGAAUCAGUUUUGAAAUUUUUCUAAAGUUGUCUUAUUUAAACUGGCAUCUACUGGACUUUUUAAAAUAUAAAGUGCAUUUUUAAAAUAUGCCAUUUUUCUUCAAGGUAAGGAUGUAAUUAAGCCUAGUAUCAUCUAAUGCAGAUCUCAAAUAAUACUCUUGGACUAUAUGCCCUUCCUUUGAAAGUAAAUCUGGCUUAUUUUACUGAUAUGCUGCUUCUGUCUUCUGUUUAAGCCUCUUCAAAGCAUUUCCCUACCAUAUUGGGCGGGGUCAUUACUGUUUAGUAGGAUUCCUAAAUUGCUAAAGUUUAAACUUCAUGUAGACACCUUGUGGAGUCAUGAUACCAUAUCUUCACUAUUAGCCUUUUCUGAUUUUAGAAGCUUUCAGGGAACCUGAAGAAUUACUUGUUCUGAUUUUUUUUUUUUUUCCAGAUUCAACACCCCAAAUCAGGGAGAAACUGUAAGAUUAAAUGAUGACUACAUUUAUCAAAGGCUGUAUCUUAAAUUCCUUUAAAGGGAGUUCACUACUGUGUGAUUAAAUUGAGAAUUGUUUUCUUUUAUUAUAAUACACCUGGAAAAAAUUCCCUUCUAAAUAUUACUAUUUACAGCAUUAAUUCACAUGUAAGCAGUCAGUCGUCUACUGAGAGAAUUCUGAGCGAAAGUGUCUUGCCACUGUUGUCCAGAGCAUAUUAUUUUGCACCUCUUCUGUGAAGUGAGUUACACCAGUCAUCCUGGGAAGGAGAAUUAUAAUCCAAAGGAAUGACACUAUUGUGAUGGUGACUUCCCUUCACAAACUCCAGCUGAACCUUGGGGGAGGAUUGACACCCUGGGUUUACCACCAGCUUUAAAAAACUAAAAAGCUUUGAAGAUGGUGACAUAUAAGGAUCCCAAACACAUCUCUUCCCACCAACAUGCUGGAUCUACAGCUACCUAUGGAACAGCUACCUCUGAAAAUAACCUAAAAAUUGGCUGAAUGAGUCUACACACUGGCCAUCGUGAGAAGGCCCACAUCGAAGCAGGAACCAUCUCUCCCCGACUGCCUCAGUCCAGCCAUUUGGUACCAUCUUCAUGCUCUCCCUCUGCCAUGUUCCAGAGCACCAGUAUCUCCCCGAAAGGAGCUUUCACACACAUCUGGUGCCUGAGGUUUUACAUCUGUGAGGCAGUUCAAGAUGGUGACCUAGGACGAUCGUGAACUCACCUCUUCCCAUGGACACACCGACUCUACAGCUACAUAUGGAACAAUUUCCGGUAAAAAAAAACACAAAAAACACCCCCUGAAAACUAGCUGAGCACCUCCUUCACGUGGGGCAAAUGAGAAAAAGGCUAUAUUCAAGUGGAUAGGAGAUGCUGAGAAUCUCACCAUAAACCCCACCCCCAGUGCAGCUACCCACCAUCAGGAGGAAACUCACAAACCCGGAGCUUCUCCCUGAGUAGCCAAGAGUUUGUACACCACGUAAGGCACCUCAGCUUUUAAGACCUGCACCUGAGAGUUGAGCCCUCAAGGCAUCUGGCUUUGAAAGUCAAUGGGCUUGCAUCCAUGAGACCCAACGUGCUGUGGUGAAAGGAGAAUGGCUCUUAAAGAGCUCGUGAGCACUCACUCACCCCAAGGCCCAGCACAGAGGCAGCUGUUUGAAAGGUGCCCAGGUUUUAAGUGAAGAAAAUUCAUUUCCUAAUCUUAAAAAGUUGGCCAGAGAGGCAGGGGCCUGCUGGGAUACUAUCUGGGGACAGAAGCUGGUGGGCCCCAUUUUUGAGCUCUUCCUCUACUGCGCUUCAGAGCACCAGUGUCUCCUGGAGGGAAGCUUUUACCCACGUCUCAUGUUCUGGGUUUUGUGGCUGCCACCAGGGGGUACCCCUUGAUUGCUUGGCUCUGGAGGCCAGGGGACUGGUGCUUCUGGGUCCCCUGGAGCUAUAACAUUCGAGAGACAGUUCUUGGCAGGCUACCACCCCCCAGGGCACUGGACAGACAGCAGACUGAAACACACCCCAGUCUUUCCAAGAAAGAGCCCAAUUUGCUUGUCCAGGAGCUUUGGCCUGAGGGGCAGGAAUCUGCUCUGGCACACUUCUAGGAGCCUAUGGAAGUGUUCUCAGGGAACAGAGGCCAACGGAGGCUGAUGGAUGCAAUCUUUGCAUUCUCUCUCUGCCUUGCUCUAGCUUGCCAGUAUCUCCCAGAACUUCGGCUGGUGCCCCAAUUUUUGCAACUGCUCUCAGGAGACACCUCUACAUUACCUAGUUCUGGUGGCCAGAGGGGCUUAUGUUUGCAGGUCCCAAAGGACUGUAAACAAUAGAGAAAGAGGUCUUAAACAGCUAACACCCUCAGGGCACAGCAAGAAGUAACAGACCAAGGAGCUCAAUCUCUCUGUGAAAUGGGCCUAUAAUUUUAUCAUGGCAGGCUUCUAAUUAAACACACAUCUAAGGGCUGACUGUAAACCCUUCCGGACACCUCAGAGGGGAGCUCUUACACAUGGCUGGUGCCCCAGUUUUUGCAUCUGCCACCCAGGGGAUGCCCCUUGACUGCCUGACUCUGGUGGUCAGGGGAGCUGGUGUUCCUGAGUCUCACAGGACUGUAACAAUCAAGAGAUAGUUCUCUGCAAGGUACCACCACCAGGCAGGGCACUGCACAAACAGGAGACUGAAACACACCCCAGUCUUUCUAUGAAAGAGGCCUAUUUGCUUGUCCUGGAGCUUUGGCCUCAGGGGCAGCUUUCAGGUUUGGCACACAUCUAGGGACGUAUGCAGGUGCUCUCAGGGGACACAGGCCAGGGAAUGCUAUCUUUGCACUCUCCCUUUGCUUCACCACAGCUCAUCAGUAUCUCCCAGAAAGGAGCUUAUAAACUCAUCCAAAGCCCUGAUUUUUGUGACUGUCACCCAGGGGACACCUCCAGAUCAUCUGUCUCUGGUGGCCAGCUGGGCUUACACUUGCAUUCCCACUGUAUAUAUCUGCAUAAUUUAAAAGCUGCUGCCUAAGGGAAUGAUUUUCAAUUAGCCUGAAUCUAGGUGCUGCCUGAGAUCCUCGUGUUUGAGACACUGACAGGUCUUCACACAUCCUCAACUAUGAGGGCUAUUAAAAAUAAAAUAGGCUUGGACUUCCCUGGUGGCACAGUGGUUAAGAAUCCGCCUGCCAAUGCAGGGGACAUGGGU